rnacentral:rRNA from 1 species
UACGAAGGGGGCUAGCGUUGUUCGGAAUUACUGGGCGUAAAGCGCACGUAGGCGGACUAUUAAGUCAGGGGUGAAAUCCCGGGGCUCAACCCCGGAACUGCCUUUGAUACUGAAGAUCUUGAGUUCGGGAGAGGUGAGUGGAACUGCGAGUGUAGAGGUGAAAUUCGUAGAUAUUCGCAAGAACACCAGUGGCGAAGGCGGCUCACUGGGCUGACCUUGACGCUGAGGCGCGAAGGCGUGGGGAGCGAACGGG